UUCGUCCCCUCCCUCCCUCAUAGCCACUCUUCCUCUUGUCUCCCCUUGCUGCGCAUCCGGCCAUAGGCGAGGCCGCGCUCCUCCGGUGAGCCUGCGCUCCUCCACCCCGUUUCCCAUCAAUCUCCGGCAAGCCGCCGCCGGUUGGAUUUCGCCUCCACCAUAGGGAUUCGUCCCAGUUCUCCGGAUUUGCCAUUUCUCCGGAUUUCACCGCCGCUCGUACAGACCUCACCACCGCCAGCUCCUCUCGAAGGACCUUGCCGCAUCUGAAGGAGGACCAUCCGCCUAGAGGCCCUAGAUCGGCCACUCCGUGGACUGCGCCUGGAAGCAGAUUCAUCUGAUGCGGAUUGAUUUUCUAGAAGCAAUCAAGUUGUGUGUUCAAUGCAUGUACAGAAAACGUGAAGCACCGAAAAAAGUCAGCAAACAAUCGAUCAGGAGCUGGAUUGAUCGGCCGCGUCUACCAGUUCGUAAACAAUUACGUUAAUGGACAGCCACGUCUACUAGUUCUGAACUUCUGAUCACACUAGCGCCCACGAGUUGAUCGAUUCAUCGAAAGAAAACAAAAAUAAAAUCAGCAAAAAGGGAAACGAAAGUCUGGAGCUGGCUUGUUGUCCCAAACGCAUUUAUCAGGUGGAGUAGAGCUCAACCUAAAUACUUGUUGUACUUGGUCCGUUCUUAAAUACUUGUUGUACUCCAUCCGUUUCUAAAUACUUGUUGUACUCCAUCCGUUCCUAAA